UACGGAGGGGGCUAGCGUUGUUCGGAAUUACUGGGCGUAAAGCGCGCGUAGGCGGCUUUGUAAGGUAGAGGUGAAAGCCCGGAGCUCAACUCCGGAACUGCCUUUAAGACUGCAUCGCUAGAAUUGUGGAGAGGUGAGUGGAAUUCCGAGUGUAGAGGUGAAAUGCGCAGAUAUCAGGAGGAACACCAGUGGCGAAGGCGCCACUCUGGGCCGUAACUGACGCUGAGGAGCGAAAGCGUGGGUAGCAAACAGG
rnacentral:rRNA from 1 species